UACGUAGGGUGCGAGCGUUGUCCGGAUUUAUUGGGCGUAAAGAGCUCGUAGGCGGUUUGUCGCGUCGGCCGUGAAAUCUCCACGCUUAACGUGGAGCGUGCGGUCGAUACGGGCAGACUUGAGUUCGGUAGGGGAGACUGGAAUUCCUGGUGUAGCGGUGAAAUGCGCAGAUAUCAGGAGGAACACCGGUGGCGAAGGCGGGUCACUGGCCCGGUACUGACGCUGAGGCGUGAAAGCGUGGGGAGCAAACAGG
rnacentral:rRNA from 1 species